UACGAAGGGGGCUAGCGUUGCUCGGAAUCACUGGGCGUAAAGGGUGCGUAGGCGGGUCUUUAAGUCAGGGGUGAAAUCCUGGGCUCAACUCCAGAACUGCCUUUGAUACUGAAGAUCUUGAGUUCGGGAGAGGUGAGUGGAACUGCGAGUGUAGAGGUGAAAUUCGUAGAUAUUCGCAAGAACACCAGUGGCGAAGGCGGCUCACUGGCCCGAUACUGACGCUGAGGCACGAAAGCGUGGGGAGCAAACAGG
rnacentral:rRNA from 1 species